GACGAACGCUGGCGGCGCGCUUAACACAUGCAAGUCGAGCGAAGCGGCGGACGGGUGAGUAACACGUGAGUAACCUGCCUUAGACAUUGGGAUAGCCUCGGGAAACCGGGAUUAAUACCAAAUGGUCUAAGAUGGACUCGCGUCCCAUUAGCUAGUUGGUGGGUAACGGCCCACCACGGCGACGAUGGGUAGCCGGCCGGGUAGGGUGAGCGGCCACAUUGGAACGGAGAAACGGUCCAAACUCUACGGGAGGGAGCAGUGGGGAAUACUGCAAAAUGGAGGGAACUCUGAUGCAGCUACGCCGCGUGAACGAAGAAGGCUUUCGAGUCGUAAAGUUCUUUUAUAUGGGAAGCGGUACCAUAAGAAAAAGCCCCGGCUAACUACGUGCCAGCAGCCGCGGUAAUAC
rnacentral:rRNA from 1 species